AUUGAACGCUGGCGGCAUGCCUUACACAUGCAAGUCGAACGGUAACGCGGGGCAACCUGGCGACGAGUGGCGAACGGGUGAGUAAUGUAUCGGAACGUGCCCAGUUGUGGGGGAUAACUGCUCGAAAGAGCAGCUAAUACCGCAUACGACCUGAGGGUGAAAGCGGGGGAUCGCAAGACCUCGCGCAAUUGGAGCGGCCGAUAUCAGAUUAGGUAGUUGGUGGGGUAAAGGCCCACCAAGCCAACGAUCUGUAGCUGGUCUGAGAGGACGACCAGCCACACUGGGACUGAGACACGGCCCAGACUCCUACGGGAGGCAGCAGUGGGGAAUUUUGGACAAUGGACGCAAGUCUGAUCCAGCCAUGCCGCGUGCGGGAAGAAGGCCUUCGGGUUGUAAACCGCUUUUGUCAGGGAAGAAACGGUCUGGGUUAAUACCUCGGGCUAAUGACGGUACCUGAAGAAUAAGCACCGGCUAACUACGUGCCAGCCGCCGCGGUAACAC
rnacentral:rRNA from 1 species